UUAAGAAAAGAAGAAAAUAAAGGGGCAACACUUCAUUUAAGGAUGCAGUGUGCCCAUUUUCACGGGCAGUUCGGAAAUUGAAGGAUUUUUCCUAUUUUCUCUUUGAGUUUUUCUUGAUCUAUGAAGAUCCAACCGACCAAACUCAAAUCCGAUUUUGGAAACGUGAUCCUUGCACUUGGAUCUACGUUUCUACCGAUCGUUUUGAGGUAAUGGGUUACUUGGAACUUGCUUGAGACUACCCAAACCAUGGGUUUUGGUUUGGUGAAUUUUUGUGAUACAUUGCAAGGUGGUGUCUAGGAGACCUAGUGAUUAUAUCCGCACAGCCAAGCAACCCCCGCAACCGUGCAGACAUUGAUACUUUGGUUGCAGGUUUUGCGGAUAUAGAUAUUGACUCGUCCACCUAGCGUAUGAGAUGCUAUGAUUGGAGCAUAUCACGACAGUCAUAAGUCACAGACUCAUGGGUAGUCUGUAUUUUGGGUAUUUUAUUUAUGGCUCAUGUCCUACGUGGCAUAUGUAUUUGUUGAGCCUGUAUUUUAGUAUGUAAUUGUGUAAUAUGUUUUAUAAACCUUAAAUAGAUAGACUUGUAAAUGGCUUUUGUUGUAAUUAACUGUUAUAUAUUAGAUGUAUUUCCGCUACACAUUGAUUAUUAUAUU